rnacentral:lncRNA from 1 species
GCAGUGUAGCAGGAUGAGUCGCAGACAAAACUCCUCAGACACCAGAUUAAAGAAGGAAGAGGUUUUUAUUCGGCCGGGAGCGUCAGCAGACUCGCGUCUUAAGAGCCGAGCUCCCCGAGAAAGAAACUCCUAGCCCUUUUAAGAGCUUACAACUCUAAGGGGUCCACGUGAAAGGGUCAUAAUAGAUCAAGUAAGCGUGAGGAACGUGACUGGGGGCUACACACAUCAGCUAACAGGACAAAAAGUUUUACGGUGCUUUCUCACACAAUGUCUGGAAUUUACGGAUAACACCAGUCGUUUUGGUCAGGGGUUAAUAUUAUUAUUAUCAUUCUAACCACCAGGGCCAGGUGGUGGCGCCAAGGUCGUCUAGCUAUUUAUCUUACUUCUGUUUCUUUCCAGCUUUUUGCUUUCUCCCUUUUCUC